rnacentral:rRNA from 1 species
UUACACAUGCAAGUCGAACGGUAACAGGUCUUCGGAUGCUGACGAGUGGCGAACGGGUGAGUAAUACAUCGGAACGUGCCUAGUAGCGGGGGAUAACUACUCGAAAGAGUAGCUAAUACCGCAUGAGAUCUACGGAUGAAAGCAGGGGACCUUCGGGCCUUGUGCUACUAGAGCGGCUGAUGGCAGAUUAGGUAGUUGGUGGGGUAAAGGCUUACCAAGCCUGCGAUCUGUAGCUGGUCUGAGAGGACGACCAGCCACACUGGGACUGAGACACGGCCCAGACUCCUACGGGAGGCAGCAGUGGGGAAUUUUGGACAAUGGGCGAAAGCCUGAUCCAGCAAUGCCGCGUGCAGGAUGAAGGCCCUCGGGUUGUAAACUGCUUUUGUACGGAACGAAAAGCCUGGGGCUAAUACCCCCGGGUCAUGACGGUACCGUAAGAAUAAGCACCGGCUAACUACGUGCCAGCAGCCGCGGUAAUACGUAGGGUGCAAGCGUUAAUCGGAAUUACUGGGCGUAAAGCGUGCGCAGGCGGUUUUGUAAGACAGUGGUGAAAUCCCCGGGCUCAACCUGGGAACUGCCAUUGUGACUGCAAGGCUAGAGUGCGGCAGAGGGGGAUGGGAUUCCGCGUGUAGCAGUGAAAUGCGUAGAUAUGCGGAGGAACACCGAUGGCGAAG